UACGGGGGGGGGGCAAGCGUUGUUCGGAAUUACUGGGCGUAAAGGGCUUGUAGGUGGCCAACUAAGUCCGACGUGAAAUCCCUAGGCUUAACCUAGGAACUGCGUCGGAUACUGGAUGGCUUGAAUCCGGGAGAGGGAUGCGGAAUUCCAGGUGUAGCGGUGAAAUGCGUAGAUAUCAGGAGGAACACCUGUGGUGUAGACGGCUUUCUGGACCAUUGCUGACGCUGAGACACGAAAGCGUGGGUAGCAAACAGG
rnacentral:rRNA from 1 species